AUGGUGGAGGCGGUGGAUCUGGGCAAAGACCCCAACGGGCCCAACCAUUCCUCGAUUCUGUUCACCAGGGAGGACGGCAACUCUAGGUCCUUAUACCUGCUGCCCAGCCCAGCCAAGCAGCUGCUGCACCACUCGGUGCAGGAACCCAGGCCACACCGCUGGCCCAGCCUGGGGACGCCUCCAGCAGCUUUGUUGUCUGCGCAGUGCGUCCCGGACCGCGUAGAACGCUGCAGCGGCUGGAGCUGGCGGCCUAUGGGCUGGGCCCCGCCUACGCGGCCCACUCGGGCACCGGCGGUGGGGGGGGGGGGUCCCUGGCAGAGCGCGCCGUGGAGCCCAAGCCGUAGUCGCUGGUGGGGCCGCCUUCAGGGAUGCGGGUGACGUGGCUUUUCAGGCCUACGUGAAGGAAAAUGCCUGCUCGCCCUGUUCGGUCGCGGGCAAAGCCUGUGGGAAGCGAUGGAGGAAAGCCGGCUCGCGGAAGAAAGGCCCCUCAGAACCUAUGGGGCCAGGAGCAGGGAAUGCCCCAGGAGCCCCCGCUGCGCUCCCAGACGCUCAAGCAGAAGGCAGAGCAGGACCCGGAGCCUGAGGAUUGCCGGGAACCAUGGAAUAAGAGAAUUCCAGCUUUGCCUGAAGAACAUGUGAAGGAAGAAACCCAGAAGCAUGAAGCAGCCAUCAAAAAACAUGCCUGCGGAAGCCACCAGGGAGUUGGAUGAGGUGGAUCAAGAGCCCUGAUUUUGAAAUACAUAUAACAAUGUGUGAUGAUAAUCCACCCAUGCCUGAGGAAGACAGAAGGACAGCAGGAGGGUGAGAAUGGGGAAGAGGAGGAGGGGGAGAGACAGAAGAGGAGGGGGAGAGACAGAGGAGGAGGGAGAGAGAUAGAGGAGGAGGGAGAGAGACAGAGGAGGAGGGGGACUUUCUCCACCAGGGGUGGGAGCUUGCCAUUAAGAUCAUUCGGCAGUUAAUGGAAAAAUUUAACUUGGAUCUACCAACAGUUACACAGGCCUUCUUAAAAAAUAAUGGUGAGUUGGAGGCUACUUCCUCCUUCUUAGCGGCUGGUCAGAGAGCUGAUAGAUACCCCAUUUGGUCCCAACAAGGUGACAUAGAUCUGCAAAAAGAUGAUGAGGAUACCAGAGAUGCAUUGGUCAAAAAACUUAGUGCUCAGAAUGUAGCUUGGAGGAUUGAGUUUUAAAAGAAAUAA
rnacentral:lncRNA from 1 species